rnacentral:rRNA from 1 species
AACCCUGAUCCUUAUGAUUUCGUCUAUAGCAACAUACCCAAAAAACACGUGCUCAAAACGGAAGGAAAUUGCAGAUUCUGCCAUGCAAAAAAAUUCAAGUAUGAAACUAAGGGAUUAUGCCGCAGAAAAGGACAGAUAAGACUAGCCAAUGCAGAUACACCACCUGAACUCAUGAGACUUCGGACAAGCAACGACUCUGACGCAAGACAUUUUCGAAACAAUAUAAGAUUUUUCAAUGGCCACUUCUCGUUUACUACUCUAUAUUGCCAUCUUGACAGAGACACAACUGACAUGCGAACAUCUGGUGGUAUUUACACCUUUCAAGCACAUGGUCAGAUAUAUCACGACAUACGCUCAUUUGGUAAUAGUCGAUCAGAUCCAAAGCAUCUGGAGACAUGCGAACAUCUGGUGGUAUUUACACCUUUCAAGCACAUGGUCAGAUAUAUCACGACAUACGCUCAUUUGGUAAUAGUCGAUCAGAUCCAAAGCAUCUGGAGCUAUACUUCUACGACGAUGAUCCAAGCUUAG